rnacentral:rRNA from 1 species
GAUGAACGCUGGCGGUAUGCUUAACACAUGCAAGUCGAACGGACUCUUCGGAGUUAGUGGCGGACGGGUGAGUAACGCGUGAGAAUCUGGCUUUGGGUUCGGGACAACCACUGGAAACGGUGGCUAAUACCGGAUGUGCCGAGAGGUAAAAGAGAAAUUGCCUGAAGAUGAGCUCGCGUCUGAUUAGCUAGUUGGUGAGGUAAGGGCUCACCAAGGCAGCGAUCAGUAGCUGGUCUGAGAGGAUGACCAGCCACACUGGGACUGAGACACGGCCCAGACUCCUACGGGAGGCAGCAGUGGGGAAUUUUCCGCAAUGGGCGAAAGCCUGACGGAGCAAUACCGCGUGAGGGAAGAAGGCUCUUGGGUUGUAAACCUCUUUUCUUAGGGAAGAACAAAAUGACGGUACCUAAGGAAUCAGCAUCGGCUAACUCCGUG